ACCCAGUGAUGAGACCAAGGCGAAUGUGAGCCCUUUGAAUUAGAGUCUGAACUCUCCUGUGUUCCUAUUGGCUGGUAAUCUUGGCUGGACAGUGAAGAUUUGCUGUCUUGCUGUAAGGGCCUGCCUACAUUCAACAAGCCCUUCCCUUAUAAGUUUUUAUCCUUUUGAGAAAUGGGGGAAGAGACAGAGGUGGGGGCUUACAUUUUGUGUGUGUGUGUGUGUGUGUGUGUGUAAGGGUCAUGGGUUGAGUUUCAUUUCUCUACAGUAAUUCUUUGGGCACUGAACUCUCUCUCUGGUUAUCUGAGGGUA